AGAGUUUGAUCCUGGCUCAGAACGAACGCUGGCGGCAUGCCUAACACAUGCAAGUCGAACGAGACCUUCGGGUCUAGUGGCGCACGGGUGCGUAACGCGUGGGAAUCUGCCCUUGGGUUCGGAAUAACAGCGAGAAAUUGCUGCUAAUACCGGAUGAUGACGUAAGUCCAAAGAUUUAUCGCCCAAGGAUGAGCCCGCGUAGGAUUAGCUAGUUGGUGAGGUAAAAGGGCUCACCAAGGCGACGAUCCUUAGCUGGUCUGAGAGGAUGAUCAGCCACACUGGGACAGAGACACGGCCCAGACUCCUACGGGAGGCAGCAGUGGGGAAUAUUGGACAAUGGGCGAAAGCCUGAUCCAGCAAUGCCGCGUGAGUGAUGAAGGCCUUAGGGUUGUAAAGCUCUUUUACCCGGGAUGAUAAUGACAGUACCGGGAGAAUAAGCUCCGGCUAACUCCGUG
rnacentral:rRNA from 1 species